AACGAACGCUGGCGGCAUGCCUAACACAUGCCAGUCGAACGAGACCUUCGGGUCUAGUGGCGCACGGGUGCGUAACGCGUGGGAACCUGCCCUUAGGUUCGGAAUAACUCCCCGAAAGGGGUGCUAAUACCGGAUAAUGUCUUCGGACCAAAGAUUUAUCGCCUUUGGAUGGGCCCGCGUUGGAUUAGCUAGUUGGUAGGGUAAAAACCUACCAAGGCGACGAUCCAUAGCUGGUCUGAGAGGAUGAUCAGCCACACUGGGACUGAGACACGGCCCAGACUCCUACGGGAGGCAGCAGUGGGGAAUAUUGGACAAUGGGCGAAAGCCUGAUCCAGCAAUGCCGCGUGAGUGAUGAAGGCCUUAGGGUUGUAAAGCUCUUUUACCCGGGAUGAUAAUGACAGUACCGGGAGAAUAAGCUCCGGCUAACUCCGUG
rnacentral:rRNA from 1 species